GUGGCGGAUUCCAGCCUGGUAUGACUUCAGCCCCCCAAGCUGAAAACCCGGGUUCGAAUCCCGGCGGCCGCACCA
rnacentral:tRNA from 1 species